rnacentral:rRNA from 1 species
UACGGAGGGUGCAAGCGUUAUCCGGAUUCACUGGGUUUAAAGGGAGCGUAGGUGGGUUGGUAAGUCAGUGGUGAAAUCCCCGAGCUUAACUUGGGAACUGCCAUUGAUACUAUCAAUCUUGAAUACUGUGGAGGUAAGCGGAAUAUAUCAUGUAGCGGUGAAAUGCUUAGAUAUGAUAUAGAACACCGAUAGCGAAGGCAGCUUACUACGCAGUUAUUGACACUGAGGCUCGAAAGCGUGGGGAUCAAACAGG